rnacentral:rRNA from 1 species
GAUCAUGGCUCAGAAUCAACGCUAGGCGGCGUGCCUCAGACAUGCAAGUCGAACGAUUAAAGCUCUCUUCGGAGAGUGUAUAGAGUGGCGCACGGGUGAGUAACACGUAAGUAAUCUACCCUCGAGUGGGGAAUAACACCGGAAACGGUUGCUAAUACCGCAUAAUGCAGCGGCACCGCAAGGUGACAGUUGUUAAAGAUUUAUCGCUUGAGGAGGAGCUUGCGGCAGAUUAGCUAGUUGGUAGGGUAACGGCUUACCAAGGCUACGAUCUGUAACCGGUCUAAGAGGACGGUCGGUCACACUGACACUGAAUAACGGGUCAGACUCCUACGGGAGGCAGCAGUCGGGAAUUUUGGGCAAUGGGCGAAAGCCUGACCCAGCAACGCCGCGUGAAGGAUGAAGUAUUUCGGUAUGUAAACUUCGAAAGAAUAGGAAGAAUUAAUGACGGUACUAUUUAUAAGGUCCGGCUAACUACGUG